GACAGAGGUGCCGAGCGUUAGGCGGAAUCACUGGGCUUAAAGCGUGUGUAGGCGGGCCGUUAAGUACCUUGUGAAAUCCCCCGGCUCAACCGGGGAAUGGCUGGGUAUACUGGCGAUCUUGAGCGAUCCAGGGGCAGAUGGAACAAGUGGUGGAGCGGUGAAAUGCGUAGAUAUCACUUGGAACGCCAAAGGUGAAGACAGUCUGCUGGGGAUCUGCUGACGCUGAGACACGAAAGCCAGGGGAGCGAACGGG
rnacentral:rRNA from 1 species